GCGACACUAGCUCAGUUGGUAGAGCGCAACCUUACCAAGGUUGAGGUCACGAGUUCGAACCUCGUGUGUCGCUCCA
rnacentral:tRNA from 1 species